rnacentral:rRNA from 1 species
AGUGAACGCUGGCGGCGUGCCUAAUACAUGCAAGUCGAACGGAGUGGAGCACGGGUGAGUGAUGUAUAGCUAAUCUGCCCUACACUAGAGGAGAAAAGUUGGGAACGCCUGCGAAUACUCUACAGUGUAGGAGGAGGUUAUAUUGUAUCAGCUAGUUGGUGAGGUAUUGGCUAACCACGGCUAUGACGAAUCACUGGUCUGAGAGGAUGAUCAGUAACACUGGAACGGAGACACGGUCCAGAAUCCUACGGGAGGCAGCAGUAGGGAAUAUCGCUCAAUGGGGGAAUCCCUAAAGCAGCACCGCCGCGUGGAGGAUGACACGUGUCGGGGCGUAAACUCCUGUUGUUAGGGAAGCGGUACCUAAAGAAUAAGCACCGGCUAACUCCGUGCCAGCAGCCGCGGUAAUUC